UGGUCCACCUCCCCUCUAGACCUGGCACAGAGAUUGCCUGAUGGCUCUAGACUGCAGUCUGAUGAAAGAGAAGGAGGCCCCAAAGACCCAGGUUUUGAAGGGGAUUCAAGAAUUAAGAGAGUUAACACUAUCAAGCUUACAGGCAUAAGGAGGGGGGUCAGUGGCUUUCAUCUGAGCAAGUGCAGCCCGAAAAGGCCUAUCCAGGUGGAAGGAUCCCACAGACUGAGCCUCCUUGGGGUCUGUAAUGACAACACCUUGUAGCCUGUAACUAGCUCUAAGCCCAGAACAGAAGCUAAGACAUUUGCACCCUCAAAACACAUCCUUGAGCUCAGAGCUCAGAGACCCUACUGGGUCUGGGUAGGGAUGUGUGAAGCACCACAGUGGCCAUCC
rnacentral:lncRNA from 1 species